AGGACAAACGCUGGCGGCGUACCUAAGACAUGCAAGUCGAACGGGCUGUAGGUCUUCGGACCUGCGGUUAGUGGCGAACGGGUGAGUAACGCGUAGGAACCCGCCUCGACGUGGGGGAUAACACUUGGAAACAGGUGCUAAUACCGCAUGUGGUCGAGAGAAGAAAGGCCUUCGGGCCGCGUUGAGAGGGGCCUGCGUCCGAUUAGCUUGUUGGUGGGGUAACGGCCUACCAAGGCGUCGAUCGGUAGCU
rnacentral:rRNA from 1 species